UCCUGGAAUCAGAGCCAAGAAAUCUGGGCUGCAGCUACUGGCUCUGACUGGCUGCCCCUUCUGUCUUUACCUCCCUGACCUUCAACCUCUGUAUCUAUGAACUGAGGGAUGCAGUCCCUGCUGGGCAUAUUCAGGGUCAAGCCAGACAAGCCCACUCCAAGGUGGGAGCACACUCUGCAGACAGAAAACACUGUCCCAGUUUAAGGAAUCGGGAUUUUUGCUGAGAGGCCCUCGGCGGUGCCCCUCCUGAGCCUGAGACCUUCUGGCAUCACCAAGUUGCAAUGGAAUGGACCGUGACUGUGGUUAUCUAUUUUUCUAGAUAAGGACACUCACAACAUUUUCCCUAGGCCCUCCUGCAAGAAAGUGGCCAGGCUGGCAGUCAGCACAGGCCUGGCCUCAAACCCACACUCCUGCCACCAAUAUACUUCUGCAGAAAGAGAAGGAAGGUGUGUUUAAUUGGGAACUCUGUUGUGCCUUGUGAAUAAAACCUGUAGAGGAAGCACAACUUGAAAUGGAAAAAUCUCUGGCCAGACCAGCUCAAUUUCCAAUGGCCUGGGACAUUAAAGUAGCCAGGUACCUGGAGAUUGCUAAAGCACUCUGAACAGACAUUCAACUCUAGCACUUCAUUUCCUUAACAAAGAUUGGAAUGAACAGAGAAAUGACACUGCAGGAAUCUAUUUUACAGACAAAGAUUGGAAAAAUAAGAGAAAAUGAAUUUCCGUCACUUCUAUGUGCAGAUUGAAGCUCUUCAAUUGCCCAGCCAAAUGUCACUGCAUUUACGUCAGCAUAUCAUGCUGCCAGGUCCAGAGGACAGGAAUCAGCUCACACCGGGGGGCCCCAGGCUCUUGCUGGCCCCAGUGCUUUGACUCACAACGGACAGCUCCCUAGGAUUUGGGGUCUGGGACAAUCCUUUGGGAAUUCUCUGGAAAUGCUGUCUACUGGCCCAGCCAAUCUUUUCCCAAUAGCAUUUAAUGGAGUCUGACACCUUCUAGGGCUUUAUGCUGAGGUGAACCUAUCACCUCCUUCCCACCACCCAGAUGCAGAAGUGGCCAAAUAAAUAAGCAACUUUACUACA